rnacentral:rRNA from 1 species
GACGUAGGGUCCAAGCGUUGUCCGGAUUUACUGGGCGUAAAGAGCGCGUAGGCGGUCUGUUAAGUGUAGAGUGAAAUCUCCAGGGCUCAACCCGGAAACUGCUCUGCAUACUGGCAGACUGGAGUGAUGCAGAGGUUUGUGGAAUUCCUGGUGUAACGGUGAAAUGUGUUGAUAUCAGGAGGAACACCGGUGGCGAAGGCGGCUUUCUGGACAGUAACUGACGCUGAGGCGCGAAAGCUAGGGGAGCAAACAGG